GAUGAACGCUAGCUACAGGCUUAACACAUGCAAGUCGAGGGGUAGCAGGGUAGCAAUACCGCUGACGACCGGCGCACGGGUGAGUAACACGUAUCCAACCUUCCCAUAACUCAGGGAUAGCCUUUCGAAAGAAAGAUUAAUACCUGAUGGUACUUAUGUAAGGCAUCUUUUAUAAGUUAAAGAUUUAUUGGUUAUGGAUGGGGAUGCGUUCCAUUAGAUAGUUGGUGAGGUAACGGCUCACCAAGUCUUGGAUGGAUAGGGGUUCUGAGAGGAAGGUCCCCCACAUUGGUACUGAGACACGGACCAAACUCCUACGGGAGGCAGCAGUGAGGAGUAUUGGUCAAUGGGCGCGAGCCUGAACCAGCCAAGUAGCGUGAAGGAUGAAGGUCCUAUGGAUUGUAAACUUCUUUUAUAGUAGAAUAAAGUGAGCCACGUGUGGUUUUUUGUAUGUAUACUAUGAAUAAGGAUCGGCUAACUCCGUGCCAGCCGCCGCCGUAAUAC
rnacentral:rRNA from 1 species